rnacentral:tRNA from 1 species
GUCAGGAUGGCCGAGUGGUCUAAAGGCGCCAGACUCAAGCUCUGGUCUCCAUAUGGAGGCGUGGGUUCAAAUCCCACUUCUGACA